AAAGGAACCGGCCAAAAUUAUUGGAAAGAAAAGAGCAAAGGGAGGACAAAGAAGAAAAAUAACCAGUGAGACUGGGGAUGAAGAGAGAAGACGUUACAAAUCAUAAAAGAUAGAGGUAGUCCAACUUCCAGCGUUUCGCUCUCUCCUCUUUUUUUUUUUUUUUUUUGAUGAAUGAACUUCGCUCUCUCUUGCAUCGUUUCCCCAUCGUGUGCUUUCGCCGAUUAAGCCGGAUUUAGAUCUUCCCCUCUGCAUCCAAUAAAUUUGACUUGCGCUCCCCCGUCUAAUGUCGUCCCCUCGCAUUGCCCAGACCGCCCCGCCAGCCCAUUUCUUCCCCACUCGCCUAAGUGUGUCUAUCGAUCGGGCCGCUGCCCUUCCCGCGCUGUCCUCACUGCCGGAAAACGGUGGCUGCCCCUCUUUUAUCCGCUCACCCUUCCAUGCCAAAGCAAUGCCGCCACCUGCCGGCACCACAAUGGCCAACGGCCGCAACUUCAGUCGCUCGCACCUUUUCGUCACCAACGUUUCCCCCUGCUCCCGGUUUUCACUCCAGAGCCGUUUAUAACUUCACCUGCCUUCGACGCUCAAAGCCUCUAUUCCUCUGCUUCCUCCCUUCAAUGCCAAGCGAGCCUUCUUCUCCUUCUUUGCCAUUACGGUCUUGCAAGUGCUUGAUGAAAUGCCUCGCAGAUCUACCAGAUCCUGAACAGCGCCAUACAGAUGGAUCCUCCUGCGAAAAGUCUGACCCCUGUCAGUGCCACAUUUUGGUUGGCGCCUGUUCGCCUCAAGGACACUCAAUUGAUUCUGUCGAGCCUGUUCCACUUGCCUGUCCCCGUGAAACCCGACUCCUCGAGCCUUUCCAAGGACGACUGCAUCUAUCUACCCGCACUCGGGGAAAGUACACUUAUGCAGCCCCCAACAGUAGUCUAACCAAUCCAGUGUAGUGAUGAUCGGACUCCCAGAAACGAAUGUUCCCACACACGACACCCAUGGGUCACACGCUGGACAAAAGGGAUUUUCUCAUUGGUCCACUCCAUAUUACUUACCACCAGGAGACUCCCUAUUGGAGUCGUCAAGCUGUGCGGAUUUGAUUGUCGUCUCGUCGGGGCCCGCAUGCGUGCGCAUUAAUCUCACGGCUUGAGAGUAUCCACCUUCUUGGGGGAUGUGUGACGGAACUCGUGAUAAAGAGUCGCACUAUUUGUUUACGACCCGGAGGUCUAGAGCCGGUGAGUUGUCCGAGUCUAAGGGCAAGUACACCUCGUUGUUAAGGCAUAUGGUCUACGGAAUCGAGGGUUCCAAGUUCAGGGUUCUAUUGCUCGUGGACCUACAUCCCGUAUGCCAUAUUGGUACUCUAGUUUGUAUAGGGUUUGCCGUUUUAGUUUGUUUACCGCUUGAUUAGGUUUCGUUCAUCUUGCUCGGUUUGAAACCUUAAAUUCGUAGAACAAUUGAUUCGAGCAAAGAGCCUAAGGGAGGAGUAGGCCCACACAUCGAGGUUCGGUCCGCCAUCCGCGCAUUACGGUUCAUCGGACCAUGAUGGUCGAUUCCCCCUGCAGGCUGAAACCGCGAAGCGUUGAGUUUACUUAUCCCUAGGGAUGCAGACCGACUUGACCAAUUCAAUGCUCGGAUCAUUCACUCGCCGACCAGGAUCGUUACAUAAAUCAAUGUACAAAUAAAUGUCUCACGAUGUACUCUCAAUAAUAAAUAUAAAUACAUUAAUGAGAUCCCAAUCGGUUUAUAUUCGGUCAA